GAAAAUCAUUGUAGUGUUCACUUCAUAAGCAUAAUUAACAUCAUGGAUUAUUGUUAAAUUAUUUUUAAACUUAUUAUAAAAUGAUAUUUUCUCUGUGGUCAAUCAUUGCAAGCCGUAUCCAUCAGGUCUUGAUGCGGGACAGCAUUGAAACAUUCAGCUCUGCAUACUUUGACAAUCCUCUGAAUGAAAUGUUUAGCACACAAUUAAAGGUCAAUGGUCUAAUGGGGUUUACAAUUAGUCUUCUGCCAUUAUCAAGGUUUUUCUUUUUUAUGUGUUUUUCAUUCAUUUUCUCUUGACUGGUUGCUUUGUAAGAGAGCCCUGAUGCGAAUUGCAAUCUUUGUUAAUAUACUUUUCAACUUCCCAGGACCUAUUUCCCAGUAGCUUAUUUGAUAUGGCACAAGUAUACACUUACUAACCUCUCAAACAUUAGACCCUGUGAAGUAUUCUAGUAUACCUUCUUUCCCUCCUCCUGACCUCUGCUCCUGAGGCCACUGACUGAAGUUUUUGAUGAGUGAUGUGGAAGAAAAUAUACACUACUGUUUGAGGUCAAAAGUUUGAGGUCACUUAGGAAUGUCAUUGUUUUCCAUUAAAACAUACAUGAAAUUAGUUUAAAUAGGACAUAAAGCAAAAUGAAUAGGUAAAUGUAGUCAACUGCGAGGUUAGAAAUAAUGUUUUUUUAUUAAAAUAAUAGUGUCCUUUAUUUUUUGCUUUCAUCAAAUAAUCCUCUGCAGCAAUUACAGCCUUGCAGACCUUUGUCAUUCUAGCUGUCAGUUUUUUGAGGUGAUCUGAAGAGAUUUAACCCCAUGUUUCCUGAAGCACCUCCUACAAGUUGGAUUGGUUUGAUGGGCACUUCUUACGUACCAUAUAUUCAAGCUGUGCUGGCCACUCCAUUAUAGACAGAAUACUAGCUGACUGCUUCUUCCCCUAAAUAGUUCUUCCAUAGUUUGGAGUUGUGCUUUGGGGCAUUGUCCUGUUGUAUGAGAAAAUAGGUUCCAAUCAAGCGCUGUCCAGAGGGUAUGGCAUAGUGUUGCAAAAUGGAGUGAUAGCCUUUCAUCUUCAAGCUCCCUUUUACCCUGUACAAAUCUCCCACUUAACCACCACCAAAGCACCCCCUGACCACCACAUUGCCUCUACCAUGCUUGACAGAUAGCGUCAAGCACUCCUUCAGCAUCUUUUCAUUUUGUCUCUGGCUCGUGAUAAUUUCUUUUUGUGAAACGAACACCAAAACCUUUUUCCAAUCUUCCUCUGUCCCGUGUCUGUUUUUUUGCCCAUCUUAAUAUUUUCUUUUUAUUAGCCAGUCUGAGAUAUGGCUUUUUCUUUGCAAUUCUGCCUUGAAGACGCAUCUCAGAGUUGCCUCUUCACUGUUGAUGUUGAGACUGGUGUUUUGUGGGUACUGUUUAAAGACGCUGCCAUUUGAGGACCUGUGAGGCUAAAACUAGACACUAAUGUAUUUGUCCUCUUGCUCAGUUGUGCACUGGGGCCUGAUACUCCUCUUUCUAUUCUGGGUAGAGACAGUCUGUGCUGCUCUGUGAAGGGACUGCGCAUUAAGAGACACAAAUGUUCUUUCGACAAACAAGGACAUUUCUAAGUGACCCCAAACUUUUGAAUGGUAGUAUUAUUUUUUACUCUAACAAUGUUUUUGUUUACGUUAGUGUGUUCUGGAAUAAGAAUAAGAACUGGGAUCUCCCAUAUCUGAAAAUAUUACUGUUUUCAAAUCCCUCCUAUUCCUUAUUUAAUCCUGUGCUAAGAGGGAUGGGCAAUUACUUCAGACAUUUCUCACAGACCAACAC
ensembl:lncRNA